ensembl:lncRNA
GAAAACAUUGAAAAGUGAAGAAAGAAAUGUCUGGGAGUAACAACAUGCUGAUGUUCCCAUGUUAAGGAAUCAAGAACUUUCUGACUGUUGUAGCAAAAACGGUGGGUGCUGCACUCUGCAGAGAUCUGGGCACUGUGGGGGCAAGUUUGAAACAGAGCAGCUGUGGUCUUGAUGUUUAUUCUCAGAAGAUGCCUCCAGCUUUCCUUUGCAAAAGGUGUGCAGUGGUCUCAAGAGAUGCAGAAUGCCCCUCUGUAGGUUUAAGCCUGUAGUUAAUUAAACUGGAAUCUUUCCUGUCUGGGCUGACUAUUUAAGAGAACUUUAAAUUACUGAGAAUUGAUCUGAAAGAAAAUAGACAAUACAGUUCAUAUCAUUAGGUUUAUCUGUGCCAAGCUUGCAUGAGCGUGCCCUUAGUGUGUCCUCUAGCUCUACUUCUGCUCUCCUUGUUGUCCAGUUACAACUACCAGUGAUUCUAAUAGCCUUUACAUCACUUUUUCCUUCAGAGCAUGUUUUGUUGUAACUGCAUUCACUUCCCCUGCUCCCUCUUCUGUUUUGAGGUCAGUCAUCUGUACCAGACAGAACAUAGUAUCUGCCACAUGUAACUAAGGACUGGUGAUUUUAGGGAAUGUGGUUUUAAUUAGCUCUCCUCCUCUCCUCUGGUUGCUGAAUGGAGCUGGCCUCAGGUGGAAUUUUUUAAUGGUGCUACUGCUGUCUCUGUUACACAAGCUGGAGCUCUGUUUUGCGGAGUAAAUUGAGACAAAAAUGAAACUUCCUUUAGUAGACUUAAUAGAGCUGGUCAAAGCAUUUCAAAUUUGUGUGAACAGUCAUUUUUCACAUGUUGGUAGCAAUAUAUACAGCAAGUCAGGAAAAUAUUGCCCUUGCAGCUUGUCUGAUUUCACUACUUUUUUUUUAUUAUUUACCAAGUUAUUUACUGAUGCUAUUUGCAUAUGGCUAUGCAGUGGUGGCACCUAAGUUGCCUUUUUUUUUUUUUACCUGUGUAGGAGCUGAUUUCCUGAGAAAUAUGGAGAACCCCAAGCUUUUCCUUCUUCCUUUUUCUCAGUGGUAUCAGUUCUCUUGUUUAGCUGACUAAGUGAUAGUUUGAUACUUUGUCACAAGAUAUUCCUUUUUAUCUUUUACGUUCUGUUUGGCUGCUGUUGUUGUUUUGCAGAGCUAGUUUCUGGCAAGGUGAUCAAGCUAUUGGACUCAUGGUGGAGUUAGGCAGAGGCCAGGCAUGAGUUAAAGGAAGCAGGGAGAGCAUUGCAUGCAGCAGGUAGGGGAAGAUGGUAGUGUGGGACUGACUACUUUGGCAUGGUCAACUGUUUAGCCUGGCUCACUGAAGUGCGCUUGAAGUUUGUGAAGGGGUAAGCUUUUUCCCUCCUGUUUAGGAGAAUUAUCCUUACCUUGGAAGUAAAGUGAAGAGCGUGACUGAAAACAGUACUUGGCCAAGAGGCAGCAGUAACUGAAACAUCUAACCACUGAUUUUCUUUCUUGGGCUCUGGAUGCCCUUGGAAGGUACUGGCGUGGGAGAGAGCAACUCGCUGUGACUUCAUGGACAUUUUUCAGAGUAAAAUACAUUGAUGGUACUUGUUUGUGGUUGUUUUUUUUUUAACCUAAGGCCUUGCUUUAAGCUAUUUAAAUACACUCUGUAAAAAAGCUAUCUCUAGUUUGAAUAUACCCACCUCUUAUCUAUACAACCCCCAGAAUCUGCUAUCUCCAAGGUAGUGGUUUCCAAGAUUUGAGUGGCUUCCUGUAAAGAUAAAUUGCAUCAGAGGCAUGACCUUUAUCCUUUGAGCUAUUUAAAUAGCUCGAAUAUCUAUUGACUUUAUGCCUUGUGAUUUCAGUUGCUGAAAAGUGACCACCAAAGAAAAGAAGAGUUGACCUAGAGUGUAUCAGAUUGGUGAUAUCUUCAUUUAUAGAGCACUGCAAAUACAGAUGACAUUUUUCUGACAAAUUCUUCCCCCAAAACUACUGUAUUGUGACUGGAUGCAUUUUAAGGAUUCAGUGCAUCCAUACAGAAUCAAGUAAAAGAAAGGAGUAGUGUCUAUUAUGCAUGCUGAAGAUAACUAGGGAAAGAUGACUGUGCAAGGAAAACAACUGGGAGCCAUCUUUGCCUGGAAAUAAACCUAAUGGUUCUUAAGACUUCUCUUUAAAUUAUGUAUCUGAGUAUUUCUGCAUCUUUAUGGAAAUUUUCAGUUGGAAGAGAGAAAUGGAGCUAUAACUGAUCAAGUUAGGAAGGCGUAAUCCAUAGUUACUACAUUUAGUAAAGAAAGAUGUUUGUGUUUGUCCCUUAACAGAUCAGCAGGAUCAGCAUUUACAGAAAAAUACAACAAAGCAGAUGGGACUCCAUGUCAUCUUUAGUUAAAAUAUGCAUCCAUUCAUAUGGAACUGUGCUCUGGAAGAAUCUAAUCAAAGCAAAACCCUGCUUUUAUACUGUAAAGAGCUGUGGAAAAAAUACCAAACAUCAGACGGGUUUGAGUCCUGAAGGAGCUGAGUGACCUCUUCCUACAGAGCAAGUAUGGGCGGGCCCCCUCUGAAGUCUCACCUUCUGUGCAGUACUGGACAUCUGGCCGUGGGCUGAUGUGACUGAGAUCUGCAGGCAAGCCUACAGAAAGGAGGUCACCUUACACAAUCCCUACAAGGAGAGCCUUGGAAAUGCUGUCUGGGAGGACAUCGUGGCUGAUAGGGGCUUUAGCACCAGCUCUGCUUUCC